ACCACACCUCCACCUACAUCCACACCUCCACCUACAUCUACACCUCCAUCUACAGCCACACCUCCACCUAAAACCACCUCGACCACCUCGACCUUUCCUGCCGCUUCCUCUCCUCUUCUCCCGGUGUUGCUGACUGCUGGAACACUCUGUGUCAUAGCUCUAGUGGUCUUACUGAUUGUUUUGGUGGAACGAUAUGUUGACAGGAAGCUUCAAGAGAGCACCUUAGCUGCCGUCUACUCAGCAGUGAGGACAGAAGACAUCUGUUAUGUAGAAAUCAAGAUUAAAGAGAAACCCAUAUAAACAAAGACCAGAUUGUGAAGCCAGAGCUCUGUACUGAAGAUUCCCACCAGUCCAGCCGAUGACUUCCAGCUACUGGUCCAACCGACCCAUAAGACCCCAGGACAUAGAUGUGUAAUACUCAUAUAUUUCCGUGUGUUUUUCUCAUCACCUUACACAGCCAGCACGCUUGCCUUAUCAAGAGUAUGUAUAGUAUGUAAUGCAUUAAUGCAGUAAUGGAAUGCACUGUAUAUGAUCCCCUAUUGAUCUUUCUAUUGAUCCAUUUAAUUUCUAAGUGGGAGACCGUGUUGUCUGCUCCACAGCAGUGAUCUAGUUUUUCUGCAGAAUCAAUAAACUUUGGUCUCACUUU